rnacentral:rRNA from 1 species
ACAGCUCAGUUCGGAUUGAAGGCUGAAAUUCGCCUUCAUGAAGCCGGAAUUGCUAGUAAUGGCAGGUCAGCAUACUGCCGUGAAUACGUUCCCGGGCCUUGUACACACCGCCCGUCACACCAUGAGAGUUGGGAAUACCCGAAGCCUGUGAGCUAACUUUUAGAGGCAGUAGUCGAAGGUAGAAUCAAUGAUUGGGGUGAAGUCGUAACAAGGUAUC